UCCCAUGUGGCUCAGUUGGUAGAGCAUGGUGUUUGCAACGCCAGGGUUGUGGGUUCGAUUCCCACAGGGGAC
rfam:Salmo salar isolate Sally breed double haploid chromosome ssa20, whole genome shotgun sequence.